rnacentral:rRNA from 1 species
AUUGAACGCUGGCGGCAGGCCUAACACAUGCAAGUCGAGCGGUAGAGAGGGGCUUGCUUCUCUUGAGAGCGGCGGACGGGUGAGUAAUGCCUAGGAAUCUGCCUGAUAGUGGGGGAUAACGUCCGGAAACGGACGCUAAUACCGCAUACGUCCUACGGGAGAAAGUGGGGGCUCUUCGGACCUCACGCUAUCAGAUGAGCCUAGGUCGGAUUAGCUAGUUGGUGGGGUAAAGGCUCACCAAGGCGACGAUCCGUAACUGGUCUGAGAGGAUGAUCAGUCACACUGGAACUGAGACACGGUCCAGACUCCUACGGGAGGCAGCAGUGGGGAAUAUUGGACAAUGGGCGAAAGCCUGAUCCAGCCAUGCCGCGUGUGUGAAGAAGGUCUUCGGAUUGUAAAGCACUUUAAGUUGGGAGGAAGGGUCGUUACCUAAUACGUGACGAUUUUGACGUUACCGACAGAAUAAGCACCGGCUAACUCUGUGCCAGCAGCCGCCGUAAUAC